UUUCCGAAGGUGAACCUGCGGAAGGAUCAUUCAUAAUAAAGUGUUUUAUGGCACUUUUUAAAAAUCCAUAUCCACCUUGUGUGCAAUGUUAGAUCUCGUCAAUCUUGGCGAGAUUUUUAUACAUCAACUCAUUCUUUAACUAAUUUGUCUGAAAAAUAUUAUGAAUACUUAAUUCAAAAUACAACUUUCAACAACGGAUCUCUUGGCUCUC
rnacentral:misc_RNA from 1 species